CAGGGCCCAAAGGUCCCUCCAGGGCUGUCCAGGCUCUUCUGGCUCCCAUCCCUCCAGGGAUGUCCAGGUUGUGUUCCUGACCCAUCCCUCCAGGAAUGCCCGGGUUCUCCUGACCCAUCCCAGCAGGAAUGCCCAGGUUCUCCUGACCCAUCUCUCCAGGGAUGCCCAGGUUGUGUUCCUGACCCAUUUCCAGGUUCUUUUCCUGUCCCAUCUCUCCAGGGAUGCCCACGCUGUUGUCUUCACCCAUCCCAGCAGGAAUGCCCAGGUUCUUCUCCUGACCCAUCUUUCCAGGGAUGUCCAGGCUGUUGUGGCUCCCAUCUCUCCAGAGAUGUCCAGGUUGUGUUUCUGACCCAUCCCUUCUGGGAUGUUCAGCUUUCACUCCUGUCCCAUCCCUCCAGGGAUGUCCAGGUUGUUCUCCUGACCCAUCUCCAGGUUCUUUUCCUCACCCAUCUCUCCAGGGAUGUCCAGCUUGUUCUGGUUCCCAUCUCUCCAGAGCUGUCCAAGUUCUUCUCCUGACCUAUCUCCAGGUUCUUUUCCUGACCCAUUUCUCCAGGGACGUCUGGCUCCCAUCCCUCUGGGGAUGUCUGGGUUCUUCUCCUGAUCCAUCUCUCCAGAGACGCCCAGGUUGUUCUCCUGAGGUUCUUCUCCUGUCCCAUCUCCCCAGGCAUGUCCAGGUUUUUCUCCUGAGGUUGUUUUCCUAUCCCAUCCCUCCAGGGCUGUCUAGGCUGUUUUCCUGACCUAUCUCCAGGUUCUUCUCCUAUCCCAUCUCUCCAGAGAUGUCCAGGUUUUUCUCCUGAGGUUCUUCUCCUGUCCCAGCUCUCCAGGGCUCCCCAGCUUGUUCUCCUGAGGUUCUUCUCCUGUCCCAUCUCCCCAGGCAUGUCCAGGUUUUUCUCCUGAGGUUCUUCUCCUAUCCCAUCCCUCCAGAGUUCCCCAGCUUGUUCUCCUGAAGUUCUUCUCCUGUCCCAUCUCUCCAGGGCUGCCCAGGCUGUUUUCCUGACCUAUCUCCAGGUUCUUUACCUGUCCAAACCCUCCAGGGAUGCCCAGGGUAUGUUCCUGAGGCUGUUUCGCUGUCCCAUCUCCCCAGGGCUCCCCAGCUUGUUCUCUGAUGUUCUUCUCCUCUCCCAUCUCCCCAGGCAUGUCCAGGUUUUUCUCCUGAGGUUCUUUUCCUAUCCCAUCCUUCCAGGGCUGCCCAGGCUGUUUUCCUGACCUAUCUCCAGGUUCUUUACCUGUCCCAUCUCCCCAGGGAUGCCCAAGUUUUUCUCCUGAGGUUCUUCUCUUGUCCCAGCCCUCCAGGGCUCCCCAGCUUGUUCUCCUGAGGUUCUUCUCCUCUCCCAUCUCCCCAGGGCUGCCCAGGCUGUUCUGGCUCCCAUCCCCAAGUCCCUUCCCUCUGUCAGCAGACCCCGAGUGCCCCUGCCCAGAGCCAUUCCCAG
rnacentral:lncRNA from 1 species